CCUACGGGAGGCAGCAGUAGGGAAUUUUGCGCAAUGGGGGAAACCCUGACGCAGCAACGCCGCGUGAUCGAUGAAGCCCUUCGGGGUGUAAAGAUCUGUCAGUGGGGACGAAACCUGACGGUACCUGAGUAAGAAGCCCCGGCUAACUACGUGCCAGCAGCCGCGGUAAUACGUAGGGGGCAAGCGUUAUCCGGAUUUACUGGGUGUAAAGGGAGCGUAGACGGCAGUGCAAGUCUGGAGUGAAAGGCGGGGGCUCAACCCCCGGACUGCUCUGGAAACUGUACGGCUGGAGUGCAGGAGAGGUAAGUGGAAUUCCUAGUGUAGCGGUGAAAUGCGUAGAUAUUAGGAGGAACACCAGUGGCGAAGGCGGCUUACUGGACUGUAACUGACGUUGAGGCUCGAAAGCGUGGGGAGCAAACAGGAUUAGAUACCCCAGUAGUC
rnacentral:rRNA from 1 species